CCCGCGUGUUCUUCAGAAGGAAAGGUUCCCAGGACUCCGAUGCGCUGUACCUUCUCUGUAGGUGGACAUGUUCUGUAGCGUAUUAGUGUCAAGAUGAAUGCCUAAGAAGGUCAGUUUGUGAAAGUGGAACCCAUAGUGAGGAAAAGUGCCAUCGUCUUGUGAAUACUAACCAGAGUGGAGUGAGGGCAUUCUAUCGCGAGGAAGUUAUCUAAGAUAACGGGUGACUGCAGGACAUUCGCUAAUAUUGAGUGUUAGUCAACAUAGUGUGUUAGCAAAUAAGA